ensembl:snRNA U2 U2 spliceosomal RNA
AUCGCUUCUCGGCCUUUUGGCUAAGAUCAAGUGUAGUAUCUGUUCUUAUCAGUUUAACACCCUUCAGUAAUUGCUCUCAAUGUGACUGGUCCCACUCAAAAGACACAGAUUGGCAGAAUGGAUCAAGAAACAAAACCCAAU